rnacentral:misc_RNA from 1 species
UGAGAUGCCCGUGUCGGGGUG